CUGACUAAAGACUUAUUCCCGAGAUUUUUGAGGAUCAGAUGGAUCAUAUGGCAUACAACUUAUUUUGUGAUAUAUAUUGGAUAUUAUGUAUAAAGUCAUCACAUUGGGUUUUAUGAUAAAAUUUGGUUUAUUUUAUGCUGAUCAACUAUUUACCAUAUGAUAUAAAAAUGAUCAAGGAAUAGACAUAAAGUUUCAUCUAUUAAUAAAGUAAAGUUCUACAU
rnacentral:lncRNA from 1 species